rnacentral:tRNA from 1 species
UUAGAGUUGGCGGAGCGGCUGAUCGCAGCGGCUUUGGAAGCCGUAGACUAGAAAUGGUCCGCAGGUUCGAAUCCUGUACUCUCUG